rnacentral:rRNA from 1 species
UACGGAGGAUGCAAGCGUUAUCCGGAAUGAUUGGGCGUAAGCGUCCGCAGGUGGCUAUGUAAGUCUGCUGUUAAAGAGUGAGGCUCAACCUCAUAAAAGCAGUGGAAACUACAUGGCUAGAGUGCGUUCGGGGCAGAGGGAAUUCCUGGUGUAGCGGUGAAAUGCGUAGAUAUCAGGAAGAACACCGGUGGCGAAAGCGCUCUGCUAGGCCGCAACUGACACUGAGGGACGAAAGCUAGGGGGAGCGAAUGGG